UACGUAGGGUGCAAGCGUUGUCCGGAAUUAUUGGGCGUAAAGAGCUCGUAGGCGGCUUGUUGCGUCGUCCGUGAAAACCUGUGGCUCAACUACAGGCUUGCGGUCGAUACGGGCGGGCUGGAGUUCGGUAGGGGAGACUGGAAUUCCUGGUGUAGCGGUGAAAUGCGCAGAUAUCAGGAGGAACACCGGUGGCGAAGGCGGGUCUCUGGGCCGAUACUGACGCUGAGGAGCGAAAGCGUGGGGAGCGAACAGG
rnacentral:rRNA from 1 species